GCUGGGCGUGGUGGCGUGUGCCUGUAGUCCCAGCUACUCAGGAGGCUGAGGCAGGAGAAUUGCUUGAACCCAGGAGUCGGAGGUUGCAGUGAGCUGAGAUUGCACCACUGCACUCCAGCCUGGGUGACAGAGCAAGAAUCUGUCUCAA
rnacentral:SRP_RNA from 2 species